rnacentral:rRNA from 1 species
AGUGAACGCUGGCGGCAUGGUUAAGACAUGCAAGUCGAACGAUAAGCAAGACUUCGGUCUUGUGGACAGUGGCGAACGGGUGCGUAACACGUGAGCAACCUGCCCUUGAGUAUAGAAUAGCUCGCCGAAAGGCGAAUUAAUACUGUAUGUGACCCUCUAUCGCAUGGUAGUGUGGUUAAAGCUUGUAAUGGCGCUCAAGGAUGGGCUCGCGGCCUAUCAGCUUGUUGGUGAGGUAAAAGCUCACCAAGGCUAAGACGGGUAGCUGGUCUGAGAGGAUGAUCAGCCACACCGGGACUGAGACACGGCCCGGACACCUACGGGUGGCAGCAGUUUCGAAUCAUUCACAAUGGGCGAAAGCCUGAUGAUGCAAUGCCGCGUGGAGGAUGAAGGCCUUAGGGUCGUAAACUCCUGUCAUUAGGGAACAACAAAUGGGUUAAUAGCCUAUUCUGAGUUAACCUAAAGAGGAAGAGGUGGCUAACUCCGUGCCAGCAGCCGCGGUAAUACGGAGACCUCGAGCGUUACUCGGAUUUACUGGGCGUAAAGGGUGAGCAGGCGGCCAAGUGUGUCAGGUGUGAAAUCCCGGGGCUUAGCCCCGGAACUGCGCCUGAAACUACUUGGCUAGAGUCUCGGAGAGGACAGUGGAAUUCUAGGUGUAGCGGUGAAAUGCGUAGAUAUCUAGAGGAACACCAGUGGCGAAGGCGACUGUCUGGACGGGUACUGACGCUCAAUCACGAAAGCGUGGGUAGCGAAAGGGAUUAGAUACCCCUGUAGUCCACGCCGUAAACGUUGUGCACUAAGUUUCGGAGGAUUCGACCCCUUCGGAGCUCUAGCUAACGCGUUAAGUGCACCGCCUGAGGACUACGGCCGCAAGGCUAAAACUCAAAGGAAUUGACGGGGGCCCGCACAAGCGGUGGAGCAUGUGGCUUAAUUCGAGGCAACGCGAAGAACCUUACCUGGUCUUGACAUGCCUGUCGUAGU